AAUCAACGCUGGCGGCGUGCCUCAGACAUGCAAGUCGAACGCGAAAUUUCCCUUCGGGGAGAAAGUAGAGUGGCGCACGGGUGAGUAACACGUAGGUAAUUUGCCUUUGGGUGGGGAAUAACUCAGGGAAACUUGAGCUAAUACCGCAUAAUGCAGCGGCUCGACAUCGAGACAGUUGUUAAAGCGGGGGAUUGGAGCAAUCCGACCUCGCGCCUAAAGAGAAGCCUGCGGCAGAUUAGCUAGUUGGUAAGGUAAUGGCUUACCAAGGCGACGAUCUGUAACCGGCCUGAGAGGGCGGUCGGUCACACUGACACUGACAUACGGGUCAGACUCCUACGGGAGGCAGCAGUCGGGAAUUUUGGGCAAUGGGCGCAAGCCUGACCCAGCAACGCCGCGUGAAGGAUGUAAAUUUUACGGUAUGUAAACUUCGCAAGAACAGGAAGAAUAAGUGUGGGACAAUA
rnacentral:rRNA from 1 species